rnacentral:rRNA from 1 species
GAUUAAGUUAUUAAGGGCGCACGGUGGAUGCCUUGGCACUAGAAGCCGAUGAAGGACGUUACUAACGACGAUAUGCUUUGGGGAGCUGUAAGUAAGCUUUGAUCCAGAGAUUUCCGAAUGGGGAAACCCAGCAUGAGUUAUGUCAUGUUAUCGAUAUGUGAAUACAUAGCAUAUCAGAAGGCACACCCGGAGAACUGAAACAUCUUAGUACCCGGAGGAAGAGAAAGAAAAUUCGAUUCCCUUAGUAGCGGCGAGCGAAACGGGAAGAGCCCAAACCAACAAGCUUGCUUGUUGGGGUUGUAGGACACUCUAUACGGAGUUACAAAGGACGACAUUAGACGAAUCAUCUGGAAAGAUGAAUCAAAGAAGGUAAUAAUCCUGUAGUCGAAAAUGUUGUCUCUCUUGAGUGGAUCCUGAGUACGACGGAGCACGUGAAAUUCCGUCGGAAUCUGGGAGGACCAUCUCCUAAGGCUAAAUACUCUCUAGUGACCGAUAGUGAACCAGUACCGUGAGGGAAAGGUGAAAAGCACCCCGGAAGGGGAGUGAAAUAGAACCUGAAACCGUGUGCUUACAAGUAGUCAGAGCCCGUUAAUGGGUGAUGGCGUGCCUUUUGUAGAAUGAACCGGCGAGUUACGAUUUGAUGCAAGGUUAAGCAGUAAAUGUGGAGCCGUAGCGAAAGCGAGUCUGAAUAGGGCGUUUAGUAUUUGGUCGUAGACCCGAAACCAGGUGAUCUACCCUUGGUCAGGUUGAAGUUCAGGUAACACUGAAUGGAGGACCGAACCGACUUACGUUGAAAAGUGAGCGGAUGAACUGAGGGUAGCGGAGAAAUUCCAAUCGAACCUGGAGAUAGCUGGUUCUCUCCGAAAUAGCUUUAGGGCUAGCCUCAAGUGAUGAUUAUUGGAGGUAGAGCACUGUUUGGACGAGGGGCCCCUCUCGGGUUACCGAAUUCAGACAAACUCCGAAUGCCAAUUAAUUUAACUUGGGAGUCAGAACAUGGGUGAUAAGGUCCGUGUUCGAAAGGGAAACAGCCCAGACCACCAGCUAAGGUCCCAAAAUAUAUGUUAAGUGGAAAAGGAUGUGGCGUUGCCCAGACAACUAGGAUGUUGGCUUAGAAGCAGCCAUCAUUUAAAGAGUGCGUAAUAGCUCACUAGUCGAGUGACACUGCGCCGAAAAUGUA